CAUCUUGUUUUCAUUUUCUUGGCUUGUGAUAUUAUUAAGGGUAAGAGCUGGCUGUAUUUUGCCUACUAUAGUUUCACUUAAAUUGUGAUCUACACCUAUAAAGAAAAGCUGCUGAGGUAAGCUGCAUUUGUGGAGGCAGACUAAGAGAAUACUGUCUACAGGAGAGCAUCGUGAAUAAAGAUUGGAAAACAUGGCCAUGAAAGGAUGAAGGAUCUGGCAUUCCCUUAGUCUAGAAAAGAAGACUGAAGAUGGGUGACAGCAAUCUUCCAAUAAUACUUGAUUGACUACCCCUUUCUCCAGUACAUAACAAUAAGGAGAAACCCACUGAAUUGGCAUCCGUUGCUUAAGCUGGGUAUUGGGAAAAGCUCUCUAACUCAAAGUAAACAUCAGACAGACUACCUACGGAGGGUGUUUUGAAUGUUUUAGUAAUGGAGUUUCUUUAAGAACAUGUCAACCCUCUGUCAGGAGUGGCUUAUUCAUGUUUGAUCAUGUAUCAGUGCAGGAUGGAAUGAUGUGGCUGAAAUCUUCUUUGACUUUACAUUUCUCUGAUUGCUAUCCCAGCACCAUAAUCACUGCAAGUUAUGCUUUGCUUUAUAUUCUAAACUUCAGUAGUCCUGUGCUUUUUCAUUGUUAAAUUCCUGUAAUACCUGCUGCUAAACAGAUUCAGGGGGUGAACUAUACCAGCUGUGGACAAUUAACAUAGUUUUAACUUAUCUCUAUUGUAAAGAUGUUGGAAACCAUCCCAUCCCCAUUACACAAAUUGCAGUGUGCUGCUGGGCAGCAUGUGGGAAAAGUCAAAGUUUGACUACUGGUUUUACUUAAGGGAUCUUCCUUCAACAGUGGCGUAAUAAGCAGAGUUGAUGCUCAAGGCAAACCAUACAGGACAGCCAGGGGGUAGGGGACAUGGCUCCAAGAGUUUGGGCCUGGGGAAGCACAGCAGUCUUAUUCAUGCCAGGAACUCCUAAAGAGUCCCCAGCUGAGCUGCUGCCACCCUUCCUGCCCUCCCACUCCACCAACGGCUGCUUCUAAAGCAGCAGUAGUCAGGGACUGUUCUGGAGUUCCUGGAAUGGGUAUGCUCCCAGGGUGUGGACUGGGGGGAGGAGGAGUUAUUCUGGCAGCCAUCCUAAUAUGGUGCCUGGGGUGGGUGCCCCUUUUACUCACCCCUAGUUAUGCAACUGUCUUUCAGUAAAAUUUUAAAGGAGUGAAGUUUAAAUUUUUUUUUUCCAGUCUAAAGUCAUUUUUUAGAGGGUCUCAUUUAUUCCUCUACCUAAAGCAAUUCCAAUGGAUAGGUACUGGGUAAAUUGCAGGGCUGAUUCUAGAAUUAUUCUUGCUAAUAGUGGCCCUGUUUACAAUUGCGACCAUUUCCAGCCUGUUUUCUUCCCUUUUAUUUUUUUUAACAUUAAAAUUAAUUAAUUUCUUCUGAGCCUCCCUUUGCUCUAGACAGUCACACUCCAGGUGUUGGUAUUCUCAGCACUGUUAGUGCUUAUUUGUAGUUGCAUUAUCCCUUUACACUAUACUUUCUAUUCUUUAAAAAAUACAAAACUGGAUUUA